rnacentral:misc_RNA from 1 species
AAACUUGCUACAUCUCAGUGCUUACAGGGUUUUCGAUAUGCAGUGCAUGUUACUGCAGUAAUGGGAAUGCAAACCCAGAGAGAUGCUUUUGUAACAUCUAUGGCCAAGUUUACAUAUCUCCAUAAUGCUGCGGAUAUGAAGCAAAAAAUGUUGAUGUGGUGAAGGUAGGCAUUCGUUUAGUAUACCAUUAUUAUGAGAAGGGC